rfam:Oreochromis niloticus linkage group LG3, whole genome shotgun sequence.
GGCCGGUUAGCUCAGCUGGUUAGAGCGUAGUGCUAAUAACGCCAAGGUCGUGGGUUCAAGCCCCAUACUGGCCA